UUCAGAUUCCCCCAGACAUAUAACUUUAUAUGCCAGUGAUGUGGAGGCGUGUUCAGCCACAAAUUGCCGGAUGAUGCUGAGACCCCAGCUGUUUGCUCAAGGAACAGAAACCACAAUAGAACGAAAUCACAAACUUUUACAACUGCCCACCCUGCUCACUAUGUUCCACAUUACGAUGGCUGGUUUCCAAGAGCAAGUGUCCCUAGAGAACCAGCAGAAGCUGUAUGGGUUUUUAUGGCCUAGCCUCGGAAGUCAUAAAGCACCACUUCCACCAUCGUCAAAAGCUCAUCAGGAUUCAAAAGAAGGAAAAGCAAGCCCUACCUCUUGAUGGAAGGGAUUGUCAAAGUCACAUUGAAAGAAAGGCACAAGGAAUAAGAGAGAUUGUUGUGACUAUCUUUGGAAAAUACAAUAUGCCACAGAUUGAACACAUACAUCUAAUUUUGUUCCCUUCUGAAAUUUCACUAAAACAAUAGUAAAUUGAUUUCCCGCCCAAGGCAUAAACUCACAAACACGGGGAGAAUGAAAGAAGAAGCAACAACAACAAAAUUUUAGAAGCUGGAAAGCAGAUGUUCAACUGGCAAAGGACUUAACAGACCCCAGAAAACUGAAUCUUAUACUAGCAACAAGGAAAGCUGAAAACUCAUUGGAUUUAUAAUAUAGAAUCCCCAAAAGACUAAGCAUAUGGUAGUAUCAGAUACCACUAUAAGUGUGAGAAGA